rnacentral:snRNA from 1 species
GUGCUCACCUCAGCAGCACAUUUACUAAAAUUAGAACGAUACAGAGAAGAUUAGCAUAGCCUUGGGCAAGGAUGACAUAAACAUUCAUGAAAAGCUCCAUAUUUUA